rfam:Synergistes jonesii strain 78-1 contig_37, whole genome shotgun sequence.
GGAGUAUCCAAACCGGCCGCCGGCGCUCAGGCGCGGGAGGAAAGUCCGGGCUCCGCAGGGCGGGAUGCAGGAGAAAUUCCUGCGGGUGCGAACUCAGGGAAAGUGCCGCAGAAAAGAAUACCGCCGCGAAAGCGGUAAGGGUGAAAAGGCGGGGUAAGAGCCCACCGGCCGCAUGGGGAACCAGCGGGCCAGGCAAACCCCAUCCGGAGCAAGGUCGAAUAGGGAAGGUUGAGGCUGCCCGCCGACUUCCGGGUACGACCGCUGAUUCGUGCGUGCAAGCGCGCGAUUAGAUAAAUGGCCGGAAAGAGCUGCGCUCUUCACAAAACCCGGCUUACUGGGUGCUCUUCAU